GGACAACCGUGAGUUGGAAAGCAGUCUAUACACUUUGAGAACAUAUCUCAAGGUGAUCCUCAUGACCAAAGAACCAUAUUCCUGAGCAUCCGAAGAGGGUUUCCCGCCCUAUUUGUCUUCGGGAUCAUGGUCGAAGCAGAGUAGAUGAAGACCCAACAGCCAUUUUCCUGAUUGACCGAAGAGGGUAUCCCGCCCUAUUUGUCUUCGGGAUCAUGGUCGAAGCAGGGUAGAUGAAGACCCAACAGCCAUUUUCCUGAUUGACCGAAGAGGGUAUCCCUCCCUAUUUGUCUUCGGGAUCAUGGUCGAAGCAGAGUAGAUGAAGACCCAACAACCAUUUU
rnacentral:lncRNA from 1 species